rnacentral:rRNA from 1 species
AGGAUUCGUCCAAGUGAAGCAGAGGACAGUGGCGGACGGGUGAGUAACGCGUGAGGAACCUGCCUUUCAGAGGGGGACAACAGUUGGAAACGACUGCUAAUACCGCAUAACGCGUAGAGGUCGCAUGGCCUUUACGCCAAAGAUUUAUCGCUGAAAGAUGGGCUCGCGUCUGAUUAGAUAGUUGGUGAGGUAACGGCCCACCAAGUCGACGAUCAGUAGCCGGACUGAGAGGUUGAACGGCCACAUUGGGACUGAGAUACGGCCCAGACUCC